rnacentral:rRNA from 1 species
UACAGAGGGUGCGAGCGUUGUCCGGAAUCACUGGGCGUAAAGGGCGCGUAGGCGGCCUGAUAAGUAGGGGGUGAAAUCUUGCGGCUCAACCGCAAGGCUGCCUUCUAAACUGUCAGGCUGGAGCACGGUAGAGGCAGAUGGAAUUCCCGGUGUAGCGGUGGAAUGCGUAGAGAUGUGGAGGAACACCGAUGGCGAAGGCAGCCUUCUGGGCCAACACUGACGCUCAUGCACGAAAGCGUGGGGAGCAAACAGG